ACACCCGUUCCCAUACCGAACACGGAAGUUAAG
rnacentral:rRNA from 2 species